CCUACGGGUGGCAGCAGUGAGGAAUAUUGGUCAAUGGGCGAGAGCCUGAACCAGCCAAGUCGCGUGAGGGAGUACUGCCCUAUGGGUUGUAAACCUCUUUUGUCGGGGAGCAAAAGCCGGACGUGUCCGGCUGUUAGAGUACCCGAAGAAAAAGCAUCGGCAAACUCCGUGACAGCAGCGGCGGUACUACGGGGGAGGCGAGAGGUAUCGGGAUUUAUUGGGUUAAAGGGGUGCGUAGGCGGAUUUUUAAGUCAGCGGUCAAAUCGUGGGGCUCAACCCCAUGCAGCCGUUGAAACUGGGGAUCUAGAGUGUGCGAGAGGUAUGCGGAAUGCGUGGUGUAGCGGUGAAAUGCAUAGAUAUCACGCAGAACCCCGAUUGCGAAGGCAGCAUACCGGUGCACAACUGACGCUCAGGCACGAAAGCGUGGGUAGCAAACAGGAUUAGAUACCCGAGUAGUC
rnacentral:rRNA from 1 species